AUGUUUAAGCAGGUUAUCUUUGGAGUUGUGGUUAUAGCAGUUAUUGCUUGUUUCUGGGUCUACAACGUACUCUACAGUAAAAUGACCCACAUAAUAUUUGACUCUAUUAACGAUAUAGGCAACACAACCAGGUCUAUAUUGCAUUUACCUUUUCAAAUUGAAUUAAUACUUCUGGCUCAACUUUAUGUGAUCUUUAUGGCUGUUUUACAGACUCUAACCUAUUUGAGAAAGAUUUUUAGAUUUGUGAUUCCCCUAAAGGCAGAAAAGAUACUGGUUAUUGAUAACAACUUGGAAAGCAUGAUUAAGAACUUGUUUAAGGAUUUGAUCAAGGAAAAAGGGCUUGAUAAUAUUAGAGAUAAAGACAAUGGACAGGCAGAUAGUGUACCUAAGGGAAAUGAAGGUGACAAUGACACCAAGCCUGACAAUGAACCAGAGAAUAUUUGUCCAUUGAAGGAGGUCACCAAGCUAUCCAGUACAACUGGUGUACUUCCAUCUAAAGUCCACAGACAAUUCACCUCACAGGAACUUGAAUCCCUAAAAAGACAUUUCCCAAAAUACAUAGAACAAUCUUUCAAAUCUCAAAAGGAACUGAAACGUGCUUUUAGGAUGUUUGACCCUGAUUUUGAGGAUGUUGAGUUUCUUCUCUCAGAACUGUUUAGCCCCCAUGAGCAAAGGCAAUUCCUAGAAAAGACCAGGAUUGAUAGUAACCUUACUAUUUGGCCCACUGUGGAGCAAAGGGAAGAUCUAGACUUUGCAAACCCCACUAGCAUGUCUUACUUAAGGAAAUACAGAGAAGACUUGCUCCAAGCAAUUAAACAGUGCUGUUCAAAGCCAAAUGCAUGGGCUAAGUUUGAUAAGAUCAAGCAGAACAAAGGGGAACAUCCUGCCACAUACAUUGAUUGUCUGUCAGAAAUGGCAGAAUCAAUAUUAGGUCUAGAGACAAAUACUGAGGAAUCUGCAAGUCAUGUCUGGAGGCAGUUUUUGAGGGGCUGCACACCUCAUUUAAAGAACUUCUUUAAGCACUAUUUCCCUAAGUAUGACACAGUCAAUCCCAUUGAACUUCACGAAACAGCCAGUUACUUGCAUGAUACAGAUGCAAGACUUAAGAGACAAAUUAGAAAUGACAGAGAAAAAUCUAAAAGAAAAGGAUAG
rnacentral:lncRNA from 1 species